GAUUCCAGGGCUGGAUAGAGAGGGGAAUAAAUCCUGGGCCCAGGUCCGGGUCGUGCAAUACAGCAUGCCCGGUGUAUGAAUGGAAUAUGUACUAACAAAUGUGUGUGCUUAAAAUAUAUGUGCUUAUAAUAUGUAUAAUAUGAGUGUGGUGUGAGAGCGUGUAAGUUUUGGAGACAGGGAAAAUGUAUUUAUUAGUGCUCUGAACAUGAGCUCCAUACCUAAAGUAUUGGAUAAGUUGGAUAAGAUUUAGAGAAAAGAAUUUUUUUUUUGGAGAAAGUUGGAUUUAAUUUGUAUGACUGUAAGCUUCAUGCAUACGGAGCUGGUAAAACUUCAUGUAGUAACAUAAAUAAGUGUAAUAAUGUGGAAUACAAUGUGUGUAUGGGAGCUUGCCGGCGUUGUUGAUAGAAAGGAGGGGUGUAUGUGUGUGUUCCUGUCUGUUCUUAUCUGUGCGUUUGUGUGGAAGGGGAAAAAAAAAAUAAGGGAGAAGAAGGUAAGACCAUUCGGUGUGUGUGUGCUUUUCAGAGUGAUUUUGGUAAGGCAGAGCAUUGUGAGAUAUCUUGCGGUCUUCGAAUGUUUUGAAUCCGUUGAAUCCGGUACAUACUUUUGAUUGUGUGAUCCAGGGAAAAAGGAAGACUGAAGGCGGAAAAAAAGUGUGCAUUUUCAGGCCCCAGAAGCCACUGUUAAGAAAUGAGUGAGUCCGACGCUCGAAAUGUGGAGGAGAAAGUCCAUUUGGACCUUUCAUUUAUAUUCCAUUUAUAUUUAUAUUUCAUUUCAUUUAUAUUUGUAGUAUUUUGGUAACUAUUGUUAUACAACUUGAAGUUAGUAAAUUAUAUAAAAAAAAAUUGCGUUCACAAUUAUGGUAAAUAAGUACAUAAGACUUAAAUUCCUUUUAAAUAAUGUGGAAAAACUAGUUGGAACAACAUUAUUUCUCUGAGUAAUCAAGUUAAAAACUUGUGUUUAUUAUACAGAUUAUUAAAUGAGUUUUAAUGGAAGACAUUUGACUGUAGAGGAAAAGGUGAUUUCUCCAACUCAAUGUGCUUCAUUGGUUGAAAUGAACUUAAAGUUGUCAUAACUCAAAAAUGAUGGGUGUUUUGCAAAACUGUCUGUGUGGUUCGCCUAAAAGAGUUUUAUGUGUGUUUGUUGUUUGUUUAGUAUUAUGGUGUUACUGUGCGUGUUCCAAGUUAGGAGGGAGGGUCUCCUUUCGGCCCGGCUCCUCAGUCUCCUGGCAUGACACCAGACUGGAUUGAGACCGUGUUGCGCAGAUUGUACACAGUUCCAUGUUUAGAUGGGAUACGCGGCUGGUCAGAAUCAUGCGCGCCGGAGCUCCAAAUCAUUCUUUUCAUUUUAAUUUGAAUUCCGUGUGUUUCCCUGUUUGGAAACUGAAUGAAAGUGUUUUGAGUUCCAUGGUGACGGUUAUCUAAACCAGAGAUAUUCGUGCGAGAGAUUUCUGUUUCUUCCCCUUUUUCCAAUCCUUUAGUUAUCUCACGCCCUAUAUUAAAGUCAAAGUGAUUCAAUAUAUAUAUAUACGUAAAUAUAUUCCUGUAAAAAUUAAAAUCAACCAGCAUGUCUCGAUGGUAUCAGUCCGGAGAGAACUUUAAUAAUAGUUUAUGUGGUGUGCAUUGUGCCACAUAGUUUCUUCUGCACAGACAUCUUUGCCUGACUAAUGAUAAAAUUGAUCAGCUGACAUGUGAACCUGUUCGUUUUGAGUGAUAUUAAUAAAAAACCCUGAAAAGUAAAACCGACCCGAGGUAACAGUCUCUGGCUGAUCACAAUGUGGUCCGUAUCAGGCUAGGUCACAUCCUCCCUGUUGAGAUAAUGUUGAGCCUAAACAUUUGGUUUUAGAGAGCAGUCUACCUUCAUGAACUGACUCGCUAACAAGAGCUGGAGUAACCAUAACUAAUUUGUGUAUCGGUGAUUGUUAUACGGGUACGUGUCUAUACAAUAUCUUAAGCAGUGUAAAUGCGAAUUCUUCUGGCGUGUGGUAUUCAUGUUGUAUAAUGCUGAAUAAUUUCUGCAUGUUUUCUCUUUAAAUGCUGGAUAUGUCCAAUGAUAAGUAAUUAGUAAGAUCAGAUGGCAGUAGCAGUCUGCACAUUUUAAACUCUCUGUAAAGUGUUGUACGCCUGUUACAGAUGUGAUAUCUGAGUCCGUAGCAUUAGAAAAAGGUGAUGAUUACUUAAUGUGGAAUUCGGGUUUUGCAGGGAGUACGAGUAUCUGGAUUAGACAGCCUUGCAUAAUGGUUCCUUUUGCCGACAUGUUGUGCUGAUAUGAGUUUGGGAGGUAGUUUAAUUACGGUCCCUUUACAAUAGUGUAGUUUGAAGUGUUUUUUUUCCUGAACCGUAGAUUGGUGAAUAGAGUAGAGUAGUUAUGCAAAUAUAUAUGUGUGGGUGUGUAUAUGUAUGUGUAUGUGUAUGUGUGUGUGUGUGUGUGUAUAUAUAUACAUAUGUGCUAUACGGUGUGCUAUGGAUAUGUCAUAUAAAGUAUACGAGUUACAAUAUUUAAAUAAUACAAAGCAGUGGUCACAAACUCGAGAAAGGGAGGAUAUACUACACAACCUGUGAAGUGAAUUGAAUUGAUAAUACGUUAUACAGCAGCUGAGAACUGAUAAAAACUGAGAGCUGAGAACUGGAUGCAGG